UGCCGCUUCUCAUUUCUUGCAAGAGAAAGGCUGUGGCCCUGGUGUUCGAGGAGCCCCUUGUCUGAAGCAGCUGCUGCUCAUGAACAGACAUGCUCUGCACAGCAGCCCUCAUUCCUAGAGGGAAGCCUUGUCAUUGCUGUGAAGGAAAACGUUUAAUGCUGAAACCAGGGGCCACUUAGGCUUUUCCAGACUUGGCCUUUCUGAGAUACUGUAAUUAAAUGGAAGAGGGGGUGUGGAAAAGGAAAGUUCUACAAAUGGAAUGACACAGUUACAGAAGACUUAGACCUAAAUGACGAGCCCUGGAGUGUGAAUGCUUUGGCGAAGAAAAUAGAGCAAAAGUUUAUCAUCAAGGCUUCUUAAUGCCAUGCGGUAAAGCAAACACACACACUUGUGUACGCCAAAGUUACCGAAUGCCCGUGUGCUCUUCCACUGGAGUGGGUCUGAUGAGAACUCCCUGGGAUCACCAAAGAAGACUAUGUCCAGCAGGAAGCUGAGGGGGUCUCUAUGGACAUUGUGUCAUAAAAACCCAAACUGAAGCCCCAGCCAGCAUUGUGAGUCACUGCUGGACUUUGAGUGAGGCAUGGCUGGCAUCAGUCUCUUGAUGGCUCCAACAUCUCUACUGAGAAGUUUUCAUCUCUGAGCAAGGGAUUUCUGCCUGCAGAAACAUCAAUGAGGCUGCAGCUGUGUGCUCCCAGGCUAAGCAAAGGCUUCUGCUCACCGGUCUAUGGAAGAUACCAACAGCUGAUUCCUCCAUCGUCUCUCCUGUGGGGCCAACUCUGUGACAGUGGAGAAGAUAAAAGAAGCCAGGACCACCAGCCC